UUCAGAAUCUUUUCUUUCCAAAAUAUUUCCUUCAUCUUUAGCCUCUGUUUUCCAGAUGGCUUUAAGCAACUGUUACUCUACAGUGCACCACAAAUUAUACUAAGAAAGUGUAAUUCCAAACUAGUUUGAUUACUCCGAUUAAGCAGAGAGCCACAUCAAAAAGUAGCCUUUCUACAUAAUAAAAAUGGUGAUAAUAGAGUAAGUCUCAUAAGUCAAAGAGCUUUAUUACCUCCUACUGUAGAAAAAUGUCUUUGCUGCUGCGAAGGAUGUAUCCCUGGCUGGUCACGGUACCCUCAUUUCCUGCUUAGAUAGCAGAAGAUACUCAGAUAAAGAGUGAAAGGAAUAUGGAGCUGUGUGAUUUAUACAAAAGGAAGCAUUAAAAAAGGGUUUUAAAAGUAAAAGUGAAGCUAUGCUUAAAAACUUGCGUUUGAACUAAGUUUCAAAACAGAAAACAAAGAUUUCCCAAGUUUCUUGUGCUCACUUUGAAUAGGAAAGACUUGCUAAUAGAUCUGGGACCAAAUGGGACAGAAGAAAGGACUGUUUACUGACUAAAAUACCCUAAGACGUUCACAGCACCUGGCACAGCUUAAAACUAAAUAGUAUUAUCUUACUGUAGGUUCAGAAAACUGUCUUGAACAGAAGCUGAGAACACCUCGUCGGCGAUGUCAGCAGCCCAAAAUGCUGAAUAGCCCUGAGGACAACAUGUACUAUAACCAGUUAAAUGGAACUCUAGAAUAUCAAGGGAGCAAGAGGAAGCCAAGAAAACUUGGCCAAAUCAAAGUGCUUGAUGGAGAGGAUGAGUAUUACAAAUCACUGUCAGCUGUCGAAUCUAUCCCUGAAGAUGACAGCUGUCUCAGUUCCCCAUCUCCUCCUUCUUCAAGAAGAGUGUCUUUUGCUCAAAGCUGAACUUAUUCUGUUGACUAACACUGCUAAGAGUAUUUUCUUGCUGGUAAUCUCUUCUAAUUAACUUUGUGCUUGCUUAUGUAAUCCAUUAAAAAAAAUACACAUUCAGUUAGCAACUUACUUUCAGUUAUUUAGAUCUGGUUUUGCAGAUACAAAUUGUAUUUCUGUAAGCAAUUCCAGUAGAGGAGGCAGCACUACCUGUAUGUGUUGAUGUUGUUAACCAGCACAUUUCCUUAGCAGCAAGGUUAGUUCACGCAGAUCCAGCUCCUUCCUCCCCACUCCCCCAGCUGCUGUUUCCAGCCUGUGCCAUCCCGUCUGUUGUGCUGGCACAACUGUUGUGUGGAAAAUAAGAUCAAGGAACUGAUCUAUAUUAAAAGAACACUGUACUAAAAAGCAUCUUUUGAGAUCAUGGUGAAAAUGUUCUAUAUUUCCUUAGUCUAAUUAAAACUCUAUCAUUUAUAACUUUCUAUGCUGUGAAUGGUUUUUAACAUUACAAAAAUGUACAGAGUAAAUUCAUCUAAAGUAAUACGUGUCUUAAUUUACCUCACAAGUAUUUUUUCUUAUGAUGUAUUAGUUUGCCAUGAGUUUAACUGGAAAAACUAUUACAAAUAUAAGAAGCAAAACAGUUUGAAUGCUAACAUUAGAUGACUUCAGAUUGCUUCAUAUAGCCCUUUUGAUGGAAACCAUCGUUAUGAUUGGGUAUUCUUGUUACCUGUGCAAGUAUCUCAUAUCUUUCUUAACCUGGGCUUAAUCUCUGUGCUUGAGUGAUUCCUCCCCUUCCACAGCUCUUUUGUAUGUAACAUGAAAUAAUGUCACCGGCAAAUUUUUUUACUUGCUUUUCACUUUUUUUCCAAAUUCCUAGUGAAACCAUUGUUUAUUUCUAUGGAACAGAGACACUUUGCUGGUAACAACUUCUGUGGAAAAGUUGACUGCUUUGCUUUACUUUCAGCUUUUGACCCGUGGUUUUGAUCUGUGACAAUUCUUUCUUUCUUUUCUGUACAUCUCUUGUAAAAAACUUCUGGAAAUAAAAUUUUCUUAUGUGUACUGCCUUAAAAAAUUUUGAGCAGAUUUAAUUUUUGAUAAAUGAUGCUGAGUAAAUCUGACCAUUUGUUAUACAGAUUUAAUGUUGAUGCUUGUUUUCAUCUCCCCUCGAAUGAGUGCCAUGACCUGUGCCAACAAACCUUCCUACUUGUGGAGGUGCAGUCCAUGCAAUCCAAGUUCACUGGAUCCAUCUUUUUGACCACAGGAUGAGGAAAAAUGGCAUAGGAAACAAGACGCAAAUGUGGUCGGAGCAUCCCUAGGCUAGAAUAGGGUUAGAAGGUAGAUAGUUCAGCAAAAGUUUUGUUUCAUCAAAUAAACCCAGUAGUGAAGUCAGGGCAGGGCAGAUGAGAACAAGAGGAUUCUGUUGUUCCAAGGACAAGCCUUCAUUCACUUUUCUCCCACAGUGUGACAAUAGUUAAAAUCCUGCAACAGAGGCAACAGUCCUUCAGUUCACUCCUUACUCUCUUCUGCUGUACAUCUGGGUGUGGGCUUUAGAGCCUUUAAAACUUAAGGACUCAUUAAAUUGGUGAGUAGCUGCAGAUGAAGCUGCAUUACAUUAGAAGAUGCAGUGCAACCAUGAAGGUCAGUUUUCUUUACUUUUUCUCAGAAUAUAACAAGAAGUAUUUGUUAUGAUUCCUCAUAAAAAAAAAUAACAUAAAACUUUUCCUACAUAAUGCAUAUAUUCUCCAGGCCCAUUAAUCUGCAAGAUAUCCGGAUGGAAAAUGACAUUAUUUUGAAAACAGUCCAAUAACUAAACUACAUUCUUAUACUGGCAUAGGUCUUAGGGAGCUCUAGCAGUAUUGGUGCUUUGUGGUUUCAUCUCUCCUUUCUGAUAAUAAAGUUUCACUGGGAAAAUAAUGUUUUAUUGUUAGUGCAAUGCACAUCAUUAUUAUGUAUAGUGAGAGUUUAUCAAUUGUUUCAGUUAAACAGAAGCAAGCCUUCCGGUUAGGUGUUACAUCAUGUGUCUAAUAACCAAAAGCUUAUCUUACACUGAGUAAUGCAUUAUGUGGAGUAGUUGUAUUAAUUUCAUAAAGAAAUAAAGAGAAGUAAAAAAAAAUAAUAUAAUAAUAUAAUUCAGAGAAGCACUUAAGCUGAAACCCAAGUCCUUAUGAAACCAAUGAAAUUUCAGGUUAUGAUUAAGUACUUUGCUGAAUGGGCUGAGUUAAGAGCUUCAGAACAUUAAAUAACAAGCAAAACAAAAGACAAACACUCUCUAGAUGCAUUCCUUAGGUUCUUCUUGUUUCUUCUUCCCAAUUAUUGAGUUUGCAUCAAUCUUAGUCAUCGGAAAUGGACUUCAAAAGAUUUUGUGUCAUAUUUUGAGCAAUCUUGAAUUGCAUGAAAGGGUAAAUAACAUUUUCCUUAUCAUAUGAAAUGCCACUAUCUACAUCUGAUGUAACUUUUCAAAUUGGUUUAAUGUCACUAAUAUUUUUAUUCUGAAGUUACUAUCUGAGAACCACUGCGGAGUUAUGCAUUCUGAGUCAGAACUGUGCACAGAGCUGAUCUGUGCUUGGCUUUAUUUCAUAAAAUAAACCCCUUUCUUCAUAUGCUGUUUGUCUGAUUCACUUCACACUCACCAUGUAACGCCCUUGAGAUGGGUUUUUCUCAUCUUUACUUUAGUGCACAUGUAUCCCUUUAGAUUAUUAAAGGCCAUCUCCUCGGCAUUGUGCUGCCGGUGACCAGUUGGUCAGAACAGAUUUUCACAGUUAAA